GAUGAACGCUGGCGGCGUGCCUAAUACAUGCAAGUCGAACGAAGAGACUUUAAAAGCUUGCUUUUGAAGAAUCUUAGUGGCGAACGGGUGAGUAAUACAUAAGCAACCUGCCUCAAUGCCUGGGAUAACUGAUGGAAACGUCAGCUAAUACCGGAUAGGUUAAUCUAAGGCAUCUUAGAUUAAUUAAAGAUGGGAUACAUCACAAUGAGAUGGGCUUAUGGCG
rnacentral:rRNA from 1 species